AGCUCGUGUCGUGAGAUGUUGGUUAAGUCCCGCAACGAGCGCAACCCCUAUUGUUAGUUGCCAUCAUUCAGUUGGGCACUCUAGCGAGACUGCCGGUAAUAAACCGGAGGAAGGUGGGGAUGACGUCAAAUCAUCAUGCCCCUUAUGACCUGGGCUACACACGUGCUACAAUGGUUGGUACAACGAGUUGCGAGUCGGUGACGGCGAGCUAAUCUCUUAAAGCCAAUCUCAGUUCGGAUUGUAGGCUGCAACUCGCCUACAUGAAGUCGGAAUCGCUAGUAAUCGCGGAUCAGCACGCCGCGGUGAAUACGUUCCCGGGCCUU
rnacentral:rRNA from 1 species